GCACUCGCGGCGAGGCACCGUCCCACUCCCCGCCCCCGGGAUGCAGGGCGCGCGCGGCUAUUCGGCAGCUCAAGCCCCGCCCCCACCGUCUCCAUUCUCUGCUCACCCCUCUCCCAGGACACUGCGCAGGCGACACGACGCCCCGCCUGACGCCCCGCCUUUCUCCCCGCCCUGCCGCGCCCCAGGGACGCAGCGCGCACAGGGACGCAGCGCGCACGCAACCGCGUUUCCGGCGCUACCUGGCUGCUGUGCCCCGCAGCUUGUGGCGCUUGUGGACCGCGUGGGCCUGCGGGAGAUCGAUUCUUGUUCUCUUUUCUGGACUGAGAAGAGAAGAAUGGAGAAGAGCCCCUUCCCAUUAGUGCCUUUGCAUUGGUUUGGCUUUGGCUACACAGCACUGGUUGUUUCUGGUGGGAUCGUUGGCUAUGUAAAAACAGGUAUGGUUUUGUUGUUACUUAGCC
ensembl:lncRNA